AGUGAACGCUGGCGGUAGGCCUAACACAUGCAAGUCGAACGGCAGCACAGUAAGAGCUUGCUCUUACGGGUGGCGAGUGGCGGACGGGUGAGGAAUACAUCGGAAUCUACUUUUUCGUGGGGGAUAACGUAGGGAAACUUACGCUAAUACCGCAUACGACCUACGGGUGAAAGCAGGGGAUCUUCGGACCUUGCGCGAUUGAAUGAGCCGAUGUCGGAUUAGCUAGUUGGCGGGGUAAAGGCCCACCAAGGCGACGAUCCGUAGCUGGUCUGAGAGGAUGAUCAGCCACACUGGAACUGAAACACGGUCCAGACUCCUACGGGAGGAAGCAGUGGGGAAUAUUGGACAAUGGGCGCAAGCCUGAUCCAGCCAUACCGCGUGGGUGAAGAAGGCCUUCGGGUUGUAAAGCCCUUUUGUUGGGAAAGAAAAGCAGCAGGUUAAUACCCCGCUGUUCUGACGGUACCCAAAGAAUAAGCACCGGCUAACUUCGUG
rnacentral:rRNA from 1 species